rnacentral:rRNA from 1 species
UACGUGCCAGCAGCCGCGGUAAUACGUAUGUCGCGAGCGUUAUCCGGAAAUUAUUGGGCAUAAAGGGCAUCUAGGCGGCCUUUCAAGUCAGGGGUGAAAACCUGCGGCUCAACCGCAGGCCUGCCUUUGAAACUGAUAGGCUGGAGUACCGGAGAGGUGGACGGAACUGCACGAGUAGAGGUGAAAUUCGUAGAUAUGUGCAGGAAUGCCGAUGAUGAAGAUAGUUCACUGGACGGUAACUGACGCUGAAGUGCGAAAGCCGGGGGAGCGAACAGG